rnacentral:rRNA from 1 species
GAUGAACGCUGGCGGCGUGCUUAACACAUGCAAGUCGAACGGAAAGGCCCAAGCUUGCUUGGGUACUCGAGUGGCGAACGGGUGAGUAACACGUGGGUGAUCUGCCCUGCACUUCGGGAUAAGCCUGGGAAACUGGGUCUAAUACCGGAUAGGACCACUUCUUGGAUGUUGUGGUGGAAAGUUUUUUCGGUGUGGGAUGAGCUCGCGGCCUAUCAGCUUGUUGGUGGGGUAAUGGCCUACCAAGGCGUCGACGGGUAGCCGGCCUGAGAGGGUGUACGGCCACAUUGGGACUGAGAUACGGCCCAGACUCCUACGGGAGGCAGCAGUGGGGAAUAUUGCACAAUGGGCGCAAGCCUGAUGCAGCGACGCCGCGUGGGGGGUGACGGCCUUCGGGUUGUAAACUCCUUUCGCUAGGGACGAAGCGUUUUGUGACGGUACCUGGAGAAGAAGCACCGGCUAACUACGUG